AACAAGGCGUACCUGCGGACCUGCGGAGGGAUCAUUACCAGAGUGCCUUCAGGCUCUCCAACCCACUGUGAACAUACCUACGUUCCCCCGGCGGGCUCAGCGCGCGGCGGCUCCGGCCGCCCGCGUCCGCCGAGGGCAUCUCAAACCCGAAUUUAUUCGUGUCUUCUGAGGGGCGAAAGCCCGUAAAACAAAAUGAAUCAAAACUUUUAGCAAUGGAUCU
rnacentral:misc_RNA from 1 species